rnacentral:rRNA from 1 species
GUAGGGAAUCUUCGGCAAUGGACGAAAGUCUGACCGAGCAACGCCGCGUGAGUGAAGAAGGUUUUCGGAUCGUAAAACUCUGUUGGUAGAGAAGAACGUUGGUGAGAGUGGAAAGCUCAUCAAGUGACGGUAACUACCCAGAAAGGGACGGCUAACUACGUGCCAGCAGCCGCGGUAAUACGUAGGUCCCGAGCGUUGUCCGGAUUUAUUGGGCGUAAAGCGAGCGCAGGUGGUUUAUUAAGUCUGUUGUAAAAGGCAGUGGCUCAACCAUUGUAUGCAUUGGGAACUGGUAGACUUGAGUGCAGGAGAGGGGAGUGGAAUUCCAUGUGUAGCGGUGAAAUGCGUAGAUAUAUGGAGGAACACCGGUGGCGAAAGCGGCUCUCUGGCCUGUAACUGACACUGAGGCUCGAAAGCGUGGGGAGCAAACAGGAUUAGAUACCCUGGUAGUCC